rnacentral:rRNA from 1 species
CCUACGGUGGGCAGCAGUGGGGGAUAUUGCACAAUGGGGGGAACCCUGAUGCAGCGACGCCGCGUGGGUGAAGAAGCGCCUCGGCGCGUAAAGCCCUGUCAGCAGGGAAGAAAAUGACGGUACGUGAAGAAGCAGCCCCGGCUAACUACGUGCCAGCAGCCGCGGUACUACGUAGGGGGCAAGCGUUAUCCGGAUUUACUGGGUGGAAGGGGGGCGCAGACGGCGAUGCAAGCCAGGAGUGAAAGCCCGGGGCCCAACCCCGGGACUGCUCUUGGAACUGCGUGGCUGGAGUGCAGGAGGGGCAGGCGGAAUUCCUGGUGUAGCGGUGAAAUGCGUAGAUAUCAGGAGGAACACCGGUGGCGAAGGCGGCCUGCUGGACUGCAACUGACGUUGAGGCCCGAAAGCGUGGGGAGCAAACAGGAUUAGAUACCCUGGUAGUC